AGGAGGUGCUCAGAGGAAGAGGGCGGGCUUUACUUGGUGUCAGUGACAGAAAUGAAAAGAAGCUGAAAUGAGUGAGAAGGACGAUGAAGGAAACAUCUGUGCUGUGUCUGCUCUGUGGUCCAAUGUUUCUGGAUUACCCACAGCCCCCUCUGUCUGCAUAAAAGCAGUGCUGGAACACUGGUGUACCAUGGCCACGUGAGCAUCAGGGGAACAGCAUUGUCCUUGUUGCUAGAGAACAUGGUGAGAAAAAGUAAUUAACAAUGGAGGAGAGACAGACCGUCAUAACACUUAGAUGUAGGUCUUGUAGUCUGAUGAAUUAUAAUCUGAAAUCUUCGGUUCAUCACGCAGGAUCUGUGUACGCCAUCGAGUAGGCGAAAGAAUGGUUACACAGCAUUCUGCAGCGCCAUGCAGUACCCUCUGGUAAGCUUAAAAUAUGGAGUGGCCAGCACGGUCUCCAGACUUAAACCCCAUCAAGCUGGUUUGGGAUGAACUGGACCGAAGAGUGAAAGCAAAGCAACCUACAAGUGUCAAACAUUGUAGAAAGAACGCCACGGCUGUGUUCUGCUGUUAUAUCUGCCAAAGGUGGCUACUUUGAGAAGUUGAGAAUACAUUUGUCUUUGAAUUGAUUCUGAUUUCUUUUUUAACUCCAAUUGCUUAUUUGUACUGUGCUUUCAUUUCAGAGUACAAUGAGACAUUAAACUGGAUAAUUUCCAAUAAGCUCUGA